rnacentral:rRNA from 1 species
CAGCGCCACAAGUGGGGACCAGUAUUAUUGGGCCUAAAGCAUCCGUAGCCGGCUCUGUAAGUUUUCGGUUAAAUCUGUACGCUCAACGUACAGGCUGCCGGGAAUACUGCAGAGCUAGGGAGUGGGAGAGGUAGACGGUACUCGGUAGGAAGGGGUAAAAUCCUUUGAUCUAUUGAUGACCACCUGUGGCGAAGGCGGUCUACCAGAACACGUCCGACGGUGAGGGAUGAAAGCUGGGGGAGCAAACCGGAUUAGAUACCCGAGUAGUCC